AGGCGUAAAUGCAGUUUGUUUUGUUACAUGAUCUGCGGCUAUUUCAUCACCAUAGCUCCUGAUAACAGAUCAAAGCAGAUGGAUCGGACAUACAGAGUCGCCGUUUAAUUUAAAAUAUCUUCGUGACCGGCAAACGCAUCAAACAGCAAGUGUUUCUCUUCCAACAGCACGCACCAUCGGUGGAUCAAGCAGCUAACGAUUUGAUCGCCAGUACGCGCCGUCAAGAAUUGAUAUUUGGCAAACAGUACUGUGAAUAAAAUACUGCACACUUACUGUAGGAAUUUCCUGGAAUUUUUUGGUUGGCCUACGCUCGCGGGAAUGGUGGGUCCGUUGAUGAGAAGGAAAGAAAGGGUGGGAGCGAGGAUUAACCAAAAACGCGGCAUUGAGAAUGAGGGGAGGUGCGCUCAGCACUCACGCUGGGUCACUCAGGAUGCUUGAAAUAAAAUGUUAACAAGCAUCGAUUUUUUUAUACGACGACGUGCUCUAUCAUAACCAGACCAAUUAGGAAAGACAGAGCCUCCAGUGUUCAAUUUCUUCAACAAGAAAAUGAAUAUGUCCUUGCGUUGUGUCCCUCUGGC